rnacentral:rRNA from 1 species
AUGGGCCCUAAGGCGCGGCCCGCGGGACAGCCCGCGACCAAUGCGGCCCGGUACGACAGCCCCGGGGCGACCAAGCGAGGGGCAAGGGUUUCCCCGAGCGCCGCCGCAGUGGCCGCCGGCGGGGCAGGACGGGGGCGGCGAAGCCAGGCCGGGGCACACUGGACUCCAGGAGGCGGAGGGACGGAGGCGCCGAACGCGGAGAUGAAGGGACGGAAGGGGCAGCGCCGGAAGAGCACAGUCGAGAGCUCCAACGAAGUUGAUGUCGAUGGGCAGGCUGGAGCAGAGGAGGACGAAGCCGGGACAGCAGCUCUCUAG